UAUCUACACUCUUUUGUAUUGAAAAAUAGACUAAGGAGAGGCUCUGCUACUGACACAGGCCUUCAGCCAGCAGAUGCCUGUGGAUGUUUAGAGACCAUGAAACCACCUCCUGUGACUUGCUGCCAUUAGGAGCCUCUCAUGAAGCACUUCUGCUGGAUUCAAUACUGACAUUGAGAGAGAUUCAAAUCCCAGAAGUUGUCACGGACUUGUAUUUAGAACUGGAAAACCAUCUCGCUUGAUCUUCUUCUGUUAUUUCACCUG